UGGCUCAGGACGAACGCUGGCGGCGUGCCUAACACAUGCAAGUCGAGCGAGGAGAUCCUUCGGGAUGAUCCUAGCGGCGGACGGGUGAGUAACACGUGGGCAACCUGCCUCAUAGAGAGGAAUAGCCUUCCGAAAGGGAGAUUAAUACCUCAUAACAUUGCAGUUUCGCAUGGAACAGCAAUUAAAGGAGUAAUCCGCUAUGAGAUGGGCCCGCGGCGCAUUAGCUAGUUGGUGAGGUAACGGCUCACCAAGGCGACGAUGCGUAGCCGACCUGAGAGGGUGAUCGGCCACAUUGGGACUGAGACACGGCCCAGACUCCUACGGGAGGCAGCAGUGGGGAAUAUUGCACAAUGGGGGAAACCCUGAUGCAAGCAACGCCGCGUGAGUGAUGACGGCCUUCGGGUUGUAAAGCUCUGUCUUCAGGGACGAUAAUGACGGUACCUGAGGAGGAAGCCACGGCUAACUACGUGCCAGCCGCUGC
rnacentral:rRNA from 1 species